rnacentral:rRNA from 1 species
GACUAAACUGUCUCUUAUGGACAUUCAAUGAAACUGAUCUCUCAGUCCAAAAGCUGAAAUACUUCCACCAGACGAGAAGACCCUGUGGAGCUUCCAAACCAACACCAACGCCUAUGGUUAUGCGGUUUUUAGUUGGGGCGACUUCGGAGAACAAAAAAACCUCCAACUAGGAAAUUUUCCUGAUUAAGAUCUACACAUCUAAAUGUUUAACUUGACCCAGUAGGCAUUAUCCCAUCUGAUCAAGGAACCAAGUUACCCCAGGGAUAACAGCGCUAUCCUCUUCUAGAGUCCUUAUCGACAAGAGGGCUUACGACCUCGAUGU